rnacentral:rRNA from 1 species
CUACGGGUGGCAGCAGUGAGGAAUAUUGGUCAAUGGGCGGUAGCCUGAACCAGCCAAGUCGCGUGAGGGAAGACGGUCCUACGGAUUGUAAACCUCUUUUGCCGGGGAGCAACGGGGUCCUUGCGAGGGCCCAAUGAGAGUACCCGGAGAAAAAGCAUCGGCUAACUCCGUGCCAGCAGCCGCGGUAAUACGGAGGAUGCGAGCGUUAUCCGGAUUUAUUGGGUUUAAAGGGUGCGUAGGCGGGCUGUUAAGUCAGCGGUCAAAUGUCGGGGCUCAACCCCGGCCUGCCGUUGAAACUGGCGGCAUCGAGUGGGCGAGAAGUAUGCGGAAUGCGUGGUGUAGCGGUGAAAUGCAUAGAUAUCACGCAGAACUCCGAUUGCGAAGGCAGCAUACCGGCGCCCUACUGACGCUGAGGCACGAAAGCGUGGGUAUCGAACAGGAUUAGAUACCCGUGUAGUC